rnacentral:rRNA from 1 species
CCUACGGGUGGCAGCAGUAGGGAAUAUUGCUCAAUGGGGGAAACCCUGAAGCAGCAACGCCGCGUGGAGGAUGAAGGUUUUCGGAUUGUAAACUCCUUUUGUUAGAGAAGAUAAUGACGGUAUCUAACGAAUAAGCACCGGCUAACUCCGUGCCAGCAGCCGCGGUAAUACGGAGGGUGCAAGCGUUACUCGGAAUCACUGGGCGUAAAGGGCGCGUAGGCGGGAUAGCAAGUCAGAUGUGAAAUCCUAUGGCUUAACCAUAGAACUGCAUUUGAAACUGUUAGUCUAGAGUAUGGGAGAGGUAGGUGGAAUUCCUGGUGUAGGGGUAAAAUCCGUAGAGAUCAAGAGGAAUACGCAUUGCGAAGGCGACCUGCUAGAACAUAACUGACGCUGAUGCGCGAAAGCGUGGGGAGCAAACAGGAUUAGAUACCCGGGUAGUC